CUGACAGGACAGGGGGUGUCUUUAUAAAAGAAAGAUGCCACUCAGCUUCCGAAGGUGACCUCGGAAUUAGUUUUAUUUAGCGAAGGUGCCAGGAGGUUUCACAGGAGUAGUCUGAAUUUAGCGAGAGAAGUGGGAGCGAGGCUGCCAGGGAAGCAGUCAGGCAUGGGAUGGGUGACCUGGUGGGCAACCCAGGAACGGAUCCUCCGAGAUCCUUGGCUGGUGGGAAGAGGGAGCGGGUGUCAUGUGGCCAGGAGGUAGGGAGUGAAAGGGGUUGGAGCUUGGAGAACGUUUGGGAGCUUCCGCAGCAGUUUCUGUCUGUUGGCCGUCCCUCGAGUCGAAGAUGUCAACCUGUUCCAAACCCCUCUAUCACCUCGUUGAACGUCCAGCUCUGGCCAACCGUUUCUGAACACCACGGUGGGGCCGGGCGUCCCUUCCCCCCAACCGUGCUGAGAUUCUGUGUUUUGAUGAAGAAAAGCUUGUGUGCGUCAAAGGGAGACCUGAGGCUGAAACGGGGCCGACCUUCCUCUCAGGUCCAACAUGAUGAAUCCAUCCCGCUCUCCCGGGUCAGUGCCAAGAUGCAGAGAAGACCGCUCAGUGUGCCGCUUGUUGCUUUUCUCCUCCAACGUCGGAUGAUGUCCGGAGAGUCCGUUUUCUGGAGAAGGCGGCAGACUGAAGACGUGGCAGAGCCCCAGUGGGCUCAGAGCUUUUGGGACGGCAGUGCUGAGAGGACGUGCUGCUUCCAGCGCUCAUCUGUUGCCAACAUGGCGAGAGCAAAGGCUCGACGCGCCAGGCGCCCGAAGGCAUCUGAGCGCUCCGCUGCGAGCGAGGCUGUUGGUGAGGCCCGUCAGCGCCGCGUAGAAGAGGCAGCAGCAAUGAGUCAAAGGCUCCGUGUGCUGCUGGCGUUGUGGAUGGCAUUUUCAGUACAAGCUCUUGCCUCCGCUGGCCAGCUCUGCAGAACGUGGCGUGACAAAGCCACGGGAAUGGCAGGCAAGCUGGCUGCUGCUGCUUCAGGGCACAAGAAGAUGCUUUUCAGGCUGUCCAUCAUAGUGCUCCUGGUGACUUUGGCCAUGGUGAAUGUGUGUGUCUUCAAGACUUGCUGGGCAGCUAGGAGAAUUUGGGAAGACAGCACGGCACAGGAGAUCGAGAGACUCCAACAGGCAGCGUCUGAGCUGAGAGCGCAGCUGGACUGCUACCAGACACCUGACUGGGCGCUGCAAAGCUUUGGUGAGGACACAGGCAGGCAAGCCCUGCUACCCUGUGCUUCUCCACGUCUGCGGCCUCUUGCACUCAUCUCCUCCCCCAUCAUUACAGGUGCCACCAUCGACACGCGGAGAACUUCUCCUAUUUACGAGCUGAGGAGCUGGUUUAGCAGACACUGCUUCUGGUGCUCUGUGAACCCUCCGGAUACCAUAUUGCAGCCGGGUGUCUCCCUUGGAGAAUGCUGGCCCAUGGAAGGACAGCAGGGCCAGGUGGUCAUCAGGCUGCGUGCCAAAAUCCGGCCCUCUUGUGUCACUCUGGAGCACAUCACCCCGGAGAUGACUCCGAGCGGCACAGCCAGCAGUGCCCCCAGGGAUGUCGCUGUCUUUGGACUGGAUGCGGACAGCGAAGAGGAGGUUCCCCUUGUGUCAUUCACCUUUGAUGUGGGGGAAGGGCCCACGCAGACCUUCUUGCUAAAGAAUAAUCAUUCCAGAGCCUUUCGCUACAUCAAGGUUCUGGUGAAGAGCAACUGGGGACACCCCCGUUACACCUGCCUUUACCGGGUGCAGGUGCACGGAAAGGUGGUGAAAACAGAAGACCAUAGAACCGCAGAGUCAUUGAAUGGCUAAGGCUGGAAAAGACCCACAGGAUCAUGCGAUGCAACCAGUCACCCGUCACCAGCGGUUCUCAUGAAACCAAGCUCUGCGCCGGGCUCGCCGCUGCUCCCCUGACAGCAACGCGGCGAGCGCUCGUCGCAACGGCGGGGCUGAGGCACAAAGCCAGGCGGAGGGGCCGCAGGCUUUCUGGGCUGACACGGGCAGCCACAUGGACCUCCAAGGAGCGAGCGAGCUGCCCAGACCUCUGGCUGCGGGGAACUCCAGAAGCUCCAGGCUGCGAGAGCAAAUCAGCCCACUGAGGUGUGUGCGGCAGUCGGAGAGAGAGACCGAGGCCUGGGAUCGCGCAGUGACAGGGGCAGAGCGACAGCCCUGCCCUGAGCCCCAGCAAGGGGGAGAAGCAAGGCUGCCUGCUUUCCGCUGCUCCCAGGAUUGGUUUGAGACAGCGCACCAAAACGCAUACAGGGAAGUCGUGGCUGUUGGGCAGAGUCCACGGCGACUGGCAAAUGGAAACAUCACUCCGAGGAGGCCCCGGGAAACUCCAGGCCCGUCAGCCUCACCUCGGUGCCUGGGGAGUCUGUGGAGCAGAUCCCCCGCGAAGAGAUGUUCAGGCACAUGCGAGACGAGCCCUCCUCACCCUUGUGUCCUCCUGCCUCCGGUACCACGGGCACCAAGCAGCGCGGUGCAGUCGCCGUAGGAGGAGGAAGGGAUGGCAGCCAGAGAGUGGGACCGGGCAGGUUCAAUGGGGGAUUUUCUGAUAUGAAAGUGCCUUA